rnacentral:lncRNA from 1 species
CCCUUCUCCAAUGGGGAGGAAAAAAAGGUCAGCGGUAAAAAUUUCGCAGGAACUCCAUCAUUGUCCUCACGGGACGUGUUUCGUCAGGAGGAGAGAGCCGGGCGUCUCGCUCUGUCGACACAGAUCCACAUCACGAAACGCAUGGAGAGCAGCACCAGCGAUGGAUUUGAAAAUUUACAAGACAUAAAUAUAAGGCAGAGCCUGCCCCGAAUUUCUCAGCAGCCAACUGCUCUGGUUUUACAAGAAGAGGCACUCUGGGAAGUCCACAUGAGAACAGAUGCGAUCCCCUCCAGCAAUAUCCUGAUGACAACCUAAAAGUUAAUGAAUGCGAAAGUGAAGAUGGCACAGAACACUGGGACAAAGGAUGUCCUUGAUGCUUGUCCCAUCUUCAGCAAAUUGAGAGGUAGAUCCGAGCCUCAAGAACUGUAGACAACAAUAAACAACCCUACAAGAAGGAGGCUGGGCUGCUGCCAGAGCCAGAUCUGCUGGAAAUCAGUGUAAUUCCACUGGUAUGCUAUCUGAGAAGGGAGCAUCAUCCAUUUUCAGCAGCUGAAGACUCCCUGGGAGUCCCCAUAGAGGCACAUGGUGCUGCAAAACGUGGACAGAUGGAUCAUGUAUCCCUCAGUACCCAGAGGACCAUCACACUUCAAGGGUAUCCUUCAUUAAAGCAGUGAUAGGAACCUAACAGUCUGCGUGUCCCUAGUUAACAGGAGCUGGUGACUGAAGGUCUGUAUAGACUGAAAGUCUAUGAUAAAGCUCCUAUUGACCGUAGUGAGAGCUUAAUUAGGGCUUUAAAGCCACACCUGGCAAAUAUCAUCCGAAUCACUGCAUCUUUCCAAAAAAAGCUCUCCUUUUGCUCGUUUCACAGCUCUGUGGUCCCAGGCACUCAGGAGGAACAGCAGAACAGCAGCCUGUGCCCACGGGCUCUCGAGACUGACUCCUCUUUCAUACACUCACUAAACUGUGUAGCAUUUAUGCAAUCCAGCAGGCUCCAUCUCAUAACUCCA